GACGAACGCUGGCGGCGUGCCUAACACAUGCAAGUCGAGCGAGAAUCUAUUAAUUGAUUCCUUCGGGAUGAUUUUGAUAGAGGAAAGCGGCGGACGGGUGAGUAACGCGUGAGUAACCUGCCUUAUGGAGGGGGACAACAGUUGGAAACGACUGCUAAUACCGCAUAAUAUGUUUUUACCGCAUGAUAGAAACAUCAAAGAUUUAUCGCCAUAAGAUGGACUCGCGUCUGAUUAGAUAGUUGGUGGGGUAACGGCCUACCAAGUCAACGAUCAGUAGCCGGUCUGAGAGGAUGAACGGCCACAUUGGGACUGAGAUACGGCCCAGACUCCUACGGGAGGCAGCAGUGGGGAAUAUUGGGCAAUGGGGGAAACCCUGACCCAGCAACGCCGCGUGAAGGAAGAAGGCCCUCGGGUUGUAAACUUCUUUUAGCAGGGACGAAGGACGUGACGGUACCUGCAGAAAAAGCAACGGCUAACUACGUG
rnacentral:rRNA from 1 species